CGUUAGUUGUCUGGUCUCUUGAACGCAAUGACCUAUCAAAGGUGUUCAAGUUAGUCAGAAUCUACUCACUGCUCAUAACGCCAUUUCAAUUCAGUUCCGAAUUAUGCAGGCUCGCGAAUCCUCUCAUCAACAAAGUCUAGACAAGAUGUAAGAGGUUUUUUUGACCGACAGCCAAUUCAAUGCUGCAAACUGUCUGGUUCACCGUGCGAUUCACUCUGCACGUGACAGAAAUAUGACAUGUUAAAAUAGUAACGCUUUUAAAGCAAUGUAAAGGCAGACCAAUAGAUUAACUGAAACAUAUUAAUUGCAAAAUAUUUUAGAUAUUCUAUGCUAAUUAUUGGUUAAACUGAUAUUCUUCUCCCUUUUUUCAGUGUUGAUUGUCAUCUGAUUGUGAGCUAACUACAGCCCAAAGGCUCUUUUAAGAGCCACAAGCACUGAGGAUCUUUGACUUUCCAACCUCAACCAAGAUGUCGGUUGAGCAGGAGAUGACAUUGCCUACCACACCACAGGUGAUCAUGCUAGGGAGUAGUCUGCUGUUUGCAACCUACUGGAUGGUCAGAAUUGAGGGGAAGGUCUUCUAUGAAGCUAACCAACUUCAUAACUUUGCCAGUGCUUUCCCUGUCUUUUUCGGCUCCUUUUAUGUGUUCAAUCUGGAGUAUCAGGAGCCAGCAUCCACUACGCUGGAGACGGUACAGAGGUGAGUAAUUCACCACAAAAAAACGUAUGUUACUUAUGGAUUAGUUAACCCAAAAUUAAAUUUAAUGUAUAUCAUGUAUUCACACCCCAUGUCAUUCCAAACCUGUAUGACUUUCUUUUGUGUAAUACAAAAAGAAGAUAAUUUGAAGAAUGUUGAUCGUAUAUAUAUAGUAUUUUCCGGACUAUAAGUCGCACUUUUUUUCAUAGUUUGGCUGGUCCUGCGACUUAUAGUCAGGUGCGACUUAUUUAUCAAAAUUAAUUUGACAUGAACCGAGAGAGAUGAACCAAGAGAAAACAUUACCGUAUCCA